rnacentral:tRNA from 1 species
GUUUUAAUAGCUUAAAUAAAAUAGUGAUUUUGUAAAUCAUAGAUGGAAUAUACCUUAAAACU